UUGAUUCAAUUCUCAAGUACUCAGAUUUCACAGUUAACAGAGUUUAAAACUGGGCCUCUGGCGGACGCUCUCCAGCCCCGGGCCAAAGGGUUUUUAGCCCCAUAGCCCAGGCCGGCGGUAGAAGAUCUACCGGUCCGCCAAAGCAACGUUUUAAGUCAACAUAGGGUGGGAGUGGGACCCAUAAGGGCCCCAUACUCUUGGUAAUGAUCCUUCCGCAGGUUCACCUACGGAAA
rnacentral:misc_RNA from 1 species